AACGCACCUUGCGCUCCUUGGUAUUCCGAGGAGCAUGCCUGUUUGAGUGUCUUGAAGUCAUCAACUCCCCACGUCUUCUUGGACGUGGUGCGCGUUGGACGUUGGGGGCCUGCGGCCGUGAGGCUGCUCCCCUCAAAUUUGUUGGUUGGGCCUGUGGGUCGAACUCGGCUGGGCGUUGUACUAUCCUCGCUCUUGAUGAGAUGUUCCCUCCUUUGUGUGCGCAACCCUGGACCUGCCUCUUCCGAGUGGGAGGGGGGGCGGUCAAGGAGCAAAAUGGCUCCUUUCUUGAAACUCUGACCUCAAAUCAGGUAGGACUACCCGCUGAACUUAA
rnacentral:misc_RNA from 1 species